CCUACGGGUGGCAGCAGUGGGGAAUAUUGCACAAUGGGGGCAAGCCUGACGCAGCGACGCCGCGUGAAUGAAGAAGGACCUCGGGAUGUAAAGUUCUAUUAUCAAGGACGAAACAAAUGACGGUACAUGAUGAAUAAGCCACGGCUAACUACGUGCCAGCAGCCGCGGUAAGACGUAGGUGGCAAGCGUUAGCCGGAUUUACUGGGUGUAAAGGGAGUGUAGGCGGGACUGCAAGGCAGAUGUGAAAAGCAUGGGCUCAACCCAUGGACUGCAUUUGAAACUGUGGUUCUUGAGUGGAGGAGAGGUAGGCGGAAUUCCGUGUGUAGCGGUGAAAUGCGUAGAUAUAAGGAGGAACACCAGUGGUGAAGGCGGCCUGCUGGACAAUAACUGACGCUGAGGCGCGAAAGCGUGGGGAGCAAACAGGAUUAGAUACCCCGGUAGUC
rnacentral:rRNA from 1 species